AACGAACGCUGGCGGCAUGCCUAACACAUGCAAGUCGAACGAGACCUUCGGGUCUAGUGGCGCACGGGUGCGUAACGCGUGGGAACCUGCCCUUAGGUUCGGAAUAACUCCCCUAAAGGGGUGCUAAUACCGGAUAAGGUCUUCGCACCAAGGAUUUAUGGCCUUUGGAUGGGGGCGCGUUGGAUUAGCUAGUUGGUAGGGUAAAAGCCUACCAACGCGACGAUCCAUAGCUGGUCUGAUAGGAUGACACACAGCAAUGGAACUGAGGCACGGCCCAGUCCGCGACGGAAGGGUGGAGAGGGGAAUAUUAGAGGAGGGGGGAAAACCUGAUACAGCAGUGCCGCGUGAGUGAUGAAUGCGUUAGGGUUGUAAUUCCCUUUUACCCGAGAUGAGAAUGACAGUACCGGGAGAAGAAGCACCGGCUAACUACGUG
rnacentral:rRNA from 1 species